ACGUCUUUCAUUCCUUUUUCUUUUUCUCAACCUACUGUGCUGUUUCGGUACAGCUGUGUACCGAACUGAACCGUUUCAGUACACACCUGUUCGGUUCAGUGUAUGUGUACCAUUACAGGCCUAUUAGUUACCAUAGAUAGUUACCAUAGUUAGUUAAUAUAGUUAUUAGUUACUAUAGUUACCACACUAGUGAACAGAACGGUAGUUUUACUUUAAUACUGUGAAAACUAAAGAACUCUAUAUUUCAAAUAUCAGACAAAUGCCACGGACACUCAGAUUCAAUGAGCCCUCAUCAGUCAUUAAUAGGCUGCUCCUGUGUUUAAUUAAUAGGUGUUAAUUAACACACCUGUUAAAUGUGCUCUGAAUGGUUCUACCUUUACACCUGUUAUCUGCUUUAAGGGUUAGGGUUCUGGUUCUGGUUCUGUAGGAUCUGAAUGGGAAGUGCCUUCAUGUAUGGGAUGUGCUGAAAUGCUCUUGUAUUGUGUCUAUAACAGAAUCUAAUGAAAUGUGCAAAACUCAUCCUGUUGUUUCCACUUGUGUGACUCAGGUGAGUGUGAGACGUGUGGUGAAGCAGUAGAACACAGAGUAGAACAUUGAAGGGGGUCUGAAGACCUUCCAUACCCACAGUAUAUCCACAUAUGGAAGAGCCCAGGUUUGGACGUGGAAUGACAAAUAUGUCCUUCAUAUUGUAAGACGUGGACGUCACUGUUGGAUAAGUCCAUUAUUCUGGACCCACGGACAUUAGAACCUUAGAGCAAGGCAUUAAUGAAAAAAUGAAUGACAAAUGAAAACAGAAGGUUCUAAUACUGACGCAUGGAUCCGACCGGUUCCAUCUAUGACCCAGUAUGGAACCGAGGGGUUCACCUGGAAAUGCUUCAUAUUUGGACGUGAUGCAUCAUUAAUGGCUUCAUGUCCAUGUUUCUGAUCUGUGUUCAUUAACAACAGUCUGACUGUGUUCAAAAGAAACAGUCGACACAGACAAGAAGGAAACAUCAACACAAGGGAUCUGAAGACAGUUUGGAAAACAGACUGUACGGUAGUCUAAUAUAGAAAGGCAAAGGCUGCAUAUCAACCCAUCCAUCCAUCCAUCCAUCCAUCCAUCCAUCCUGCUGCUGCUUCAGUCAAAUCCUAUUUAAUAUUAAUAACAUAUUGAUGCAGUGAUGGUGCGUUCCCAGAGGCUUUGUUUCUGCAGCUCAACAAUCUGACCACGUUCAAACAGACAAAGCUUUGGAUCGUUUUCCAUCAGGAGGUCAUGACAGUGGGAAUACCUGACACUAAAGGACACUGAAUCCACAUUUAUGCACACAUUUGGUCUGUUAAAGGCUGGGCUCUGAAACUGUGGAUGAACACACUAGUUCAGUUUAACUGUUGUUUUUAAUAAAUUACUCACAUUU